rnacentral:rRNA from 1 species
GAUGAACGCUGGCGGCGUGCCUAAUACAUGCAAGUCGAGCGAACGGACGAGAAGCUUGCUUCUCUGAUGUUAGCGGCGGACGGGUGAGUAACACGUGGAUAACCUACCUAUAAGACUGGGAUAACUUCGGGAAACCGUAGCUAAUACCGGAUAAUAUUUUGAACCGCAUGGUUCAAAAGUGAAAGACGGUCUUGCUGUCACUUAUAGAUGGAUCCGCGCUGCAUUAGCUAGUUGGUAAGGUAACGGCUUACCAAGGCAACGAUGCAUAGCCGACCUGAGAGGGUGAUCGGCCACACUGGAACUGAGACACGGUCCAGACUCCUACGGGAGGCAGCAGUCGGGAAUCUUCCGCGAUGGGCGAAAGCCUGACGGAGCAACGCCGCGUGAGUGAUGAAGGUCUUCGGAUCGUAAAACUCUGUUAUUAGGGAAGAACAUAUGUGUAAGUAACUGUGCACAUCUUGACGGUACCUAAUCAGAAAGCCACGGCUAACUACGUG